GAAUGGCAUGCCCUGAGACCAGCAGACCCACUGGUCGCAGGACAGGUGUUGAAGGCACCUAAGCAGCAGGUCCACUGAGAAGUCAAGUAAAGAUUGGACACAUCUGGGACCUCCAUGGGGAACCAGUGGGAGCUACAGAGAUCCAGAAGCAGAGGUGUUUGCACAUCCCCACUCUCCAGAAAUACAGUGAGGGCAGAGUGGCCCUGGGCCUCUUGUGGAAGACUCAAGCCCUGGACAGAAAGCCUCUCCAGUCCUAGGGCAAGCAGCCAUUUAUUUUAAACCGAAUUUCACUCUCAAACCCUGGCUAACCUUUUGCAGCAUACCCAAAAGACACAGAAUCCAACCUACCAGGAAAAUAUCCCUGAACACUGGAAAUAUUCAGUAAAAGGGAUUUCAUCUUACAAACCCAGAAAAACAUAAUAAAACUUUCAUUGUCAGGGACACAAAAUGAUAACUUCUGGAUUAAUGAACACUCCGGACAAAGAACAAUGAAAAGUCUGCCUUUCAAGGUUCCUGGUGAUACCUGUAGCUGUGAUAUCUCAAGAAUGAAAGGAUCACAAGGAUAUCACAACAAACCAGAGCCGUCCUGUCCACUGCUACCUCAUCCUCCCACAUGAUGCUAGUGAGCCCUCGAAAUCGGACUGAUCCAGAUGGAGCUGUGCUGUAAGUGUAAAAUGCACACU